AGGUUGGCUCAGAAGCAGCCAUCCUUUAAAGAGUGCGUAACAGCUCACUAGUCGAAUGACUCUGCGCCGAUAAUUUACCGGGGCUAAGCAUACUACCGAAGCUAUGGAUCCCAAGGGAUGGUAGGGGAGCGUUCCAUGAACGGAGAAGCGUGAUCGAGAGGACGCGUGGAGAUCAUGGAAGAGAGAAUGCCGGUGUGAGUAGCGGAACGUGGGUGAGAAUCCCACGCACCGAAAACCCAAGGUUUCCAGAGGAAGGUUCGUCCGCUCUGGGUAAGUCGGGACCUAAGGCGAGGCCGAGAGGCGUAGUCGAUGGACAACAGGUAGAGAUUCCUGUACUCAUAUAUAUGUGAAGGAAUGACGGAGAGAGGAAGCUGCAGCCAGCGGCUGGAAGAGCUGGUGCAAGCGAGAUAUCGGGAUGGCAGGCAAAUCCACCAUCCGAAACGAGAAGGCGUGAAGCGUACGGAAAGCUAAGGCGAGUACGGAAGGCAGUGGAGGAGCUUCCAAGAAAAGUUUCUAACGAAAGUAUAUGUGACCCGUACCGAAAAUGGACACACAUGGGUGAGGAGAGAAUCCUAAGGUGAGCGAGAGAACUAUAGCUAAGGAACUCUGCAAAAUGACUCCGUAACUUAGGGAGAAGGAGUGCUCAUAGAGAUAUGAGCCGCAGUGAAACGGCCCAAGCGACUGUUUACCAAAAACACAGCUCUCUGCUAAGCCGCAAGGCGAAGUAUAGGGGGUGACGCCUGCCCGGUGCUGGAAGGUUAAGGGGAGGGGUUAACGCAAGUGAAGCCCUGAACUGAAGCCCCAGUAAACGGCGGCCGUAACUAUAACGGUCCUAAGGUAGCGAAAUUCCUUGUCAGGUAAGUUCUGACCCGCACGAAAGGCGUAACGAUUUGGGCGCUGUCUCAGCUGUAGACUCGGUGAAGUCUUAGUACCUGUGAAGAUGCAGGUUACCCGCGACUAGACGGAAAGACCCCAUGGAGCUUCACUGCAGGUUGAUAUUGGGAUUUGAUGCAGCAUGUACAGGAUAGGUAGGAGGCAAGGAGAUGGAUACGCCAGUAUUCAAGGAGCCGCUGUUGGGAUACUACCCCUGUUGUAUUGGAUUUCUAACCGGACGACGUAAAGCCGUUGACGGGACAGUGUCAGUCGGGCAGUUUGACUGGGGCGGUCGCCUCCCAAAGAGUAACGGAGGCGCCCAAAGAUACCCUCAGCUUGGAUGGAAACCAAGCGCAGAGUGCAAAGGCAAAAGGGUGUUUGACUGCGAGACCCACAAGUCGAGCAGGGACGAAAGUCGGGCUUAGUGAUCCGGCGGUGCUGAAUGGAAAGGCCGUCGCUCAACGGAUAAAAGCUACCCUGGGGAUAACAGGCUGAUCUCCCCCAAGAGUUCACAUCGACGGGGAGGUUUGGCACCUCGAUGUCGGCUCAUCGCAUCCUGGGGCUGAAGUAGGUCCCAAGGGUUGGGCUGUUCGCCCAUUAAAGCGGUACGCGAGCUGGGUUCAGAACGUCGUGAGACAGUUCGGUCCCUAUCUGUCGUGGGCGCAGGAAAUUUGAGAAGAGCUGUCCUCAGUACGAGAGGACCGGGAUGGACGCAUCAAUGGUGGACCAGUUGUCACGCCAGUGGCAUAGCUGGGUAGCUAAAUGCGGAAGGGAUAAACGCUGAAGGCAUCUAAGUGUGAAACCCACUUCAAGAUGAGAUUUCCCAUUGCGCAAGCAAGUAAGACCCCUUAAAGACGAUAAGGUAGAUAGGUCAGGAGUGUAAGCAUGGUGACAUGUUAAGCGGACUGAUACUAAUAGGUCGAGGGCUUGACCGA
rnacentral:rRNA from 1 species